GUCAGUGUGGUGUAGUUCUUUGGGUGUUAGACUAGUACUCUGGAGACCAGGGUUCGAAUCCCUGCUGAGCCA